rnacentral:rRNA from 1 species
CUACGGGAUGCAGCAGUGAGGAAUAUUGCACAAUGGGGGGAACCCUGAUGCAGCAACGCCGCGUGGAGGAUGACGCAUUUCGGUGUGUAAACUCCUUUUAUAUGCCAAGAAAAUGACGGUAGCAUAUGAAUAAGCACCGGCUAACUCCGUGCCAGCAGCCGGCGGUAAUACGGAGGGUGCAAGCGUUACUCGGAAUCACUGGGCGUAAAGGACGCGUAGGCGGGUUGGAAAGUCAGGUGUGAAAUCCUACAGCUUAACUGUAGAACUGCACUUGAAACUUCUAAUCUAGAGUAUGGGAGGGGGAGAUGGAAUUAGUGGUGUAGGGGUAAAAUCCGUAGAUAUCACUAGGAAUGCCUAAAGCGAAGGCGAUCUCCUGGAACAUUACUGACGCUAAGGCGUGAAAGCGUGGGGAGCAAACAGGAUUAGAUACCCCGGUAGUC